rnacentral:rRNA from 1 species
AACAGGAUUAGAUACCCUGGUAGUCCACGCCGUAAACGAUGAUAACUAGCUGUCCGGGGACUUGGUCUUUGGGUGGCGCAGCUAACGCAUUAAGUUAUCCGCCUGGGGAGUACGGCCGCAAGGUUAAAACUCAAAUGAAUUGACGGGGGCCUGCACAAGCGGUGGAGCAUGUGGUUUAAUUCGAAGCAGCGCGCAGAACCUUACCAGCGUUUGACAUGUCCGGACGAUUUCCAGAGAUGGAUCUCUUCCCUUCGGGGACUGGAACACAGGUGCUGCGUGGCUGUCGUCAGCUCGUGUCGUGAGAUGUUGGGUUAAGUCCCGCAACGAGCGCAACCCUCGCCUUUAGUUACCAUCAUUCAGUUGGGGACUCUAAAGGAACCGCCGGUGAUAAGCCGGAGGAAGGUGGGGAUGACGUCAAGUCCUCAUGGCCCUUACGCGCUGGGCUACACACGUGCUACAAUGGCGGUGACAGUGGGCAGCAAACUCGCGAGAGUGCGCUAAUCUCCAAAAGCCGUCUCAGUUCGGAUUGCUCUCUGCAACUCGAGAGCAUGAAGGCGGAAUCGCUAGUAAUCGCGGAUCAGCAUGCCGCGGUGAAUACGUUCCCAGGCCUUGUACACACCGCCCGUCACACCAUGGGAGUUGGGUUCACCCGAAGGCGUUGCGCUAACUCGCAAGAGAGGCAGGCGACCACGGUGGGCUUAGCGACUGGGGUGAAGUCGUAACAAGGUAACC